rfam:Environmental sequence GutlessWorm_Cont1188, whole genome shotgun sequence.
UAGCUGGGCGUGGGAGAUCCAUUCGGGAUGUCUGUCGCCCACAUAAUGGCUGCCGGGAUGGGGGGCAUCCGAACCGCUGGAGAUCUGGUGGCUUGGAUGC